AGCAAGCGUUGUUCGGAUUUACUGGGCGUAAAGGGCGCGUAGGCGGUCAGCACAAGUCAGUUGUGAAAUCUCCGGGCUUAACUCGGAAAGGUCAACUGAUACUGUGCGACUAGAGUGCGGAAGGGGCAACUGGAAUUCUUGGUGUAGCGGUGAAAUGCGUAGAUAUUGGGAGGAACACCAGUGGCGAAGGCGGCUCACUGGACCGGAACUGACGCUGAGGCGCGAAAGCGUGGGGAGCAAACAGG
rnacentral:rRNA from 1 species